CUAGUGGCAGAACCGUAAUUUUUGCAAAGCCAGUUUUUAAAAACCUGAUCACUCUCUCUCCUCUCACGCAGAACCACCUCUCUCUCUCCUCUGUUCAGGCCAACUACGACCUCUGUGGCUUCCGAUGAAGAUUCCGGCCACAUCCGGCCGCCUACGGCCACUAUUUUAGAUCCCUUCUCUUCGUUUCUCUCUCCUCUACACAUCUAUACCAAAUUGCAGCCCCAAAUCUAAGGAAAUUAAAGCCAAAAUCCAAGCCAAAGUGAGCCCAAAAACGGGCUGUUUCAAACAGUAAAUUUCGGGGUAUUUUCCGGUCAUCUCCGGCUGCCAAAGGUCAGGUUUUCAAGAGAUAGAAAGCUUCGUUCGAGGGCUCUAGAGGUGGAAUUGAUCAUCGAGCCAAGGCUGUAGACGUGCAUCUGAGAGCCACAACAGGGCAGUUCCCGCUUCCCGCUCUCCCUCAGUUUGAUGUAGGGAUUCUUGGUUCACAAGUUGUUUCCUUCCUUGUAAAUUGAUUUGUUUAGUUGCUCUGAUGUUGCCCUAGAACUUGUUUUACUGUUGGAACAUACUUAUUUUUGUAUACUGGCAGUUGGUGUAUAUAUUUAA